UGUCCUUUUACUCAAUAGAAAGGGUAUACAUAGGAGCAUUGGCACGCGGCAAAAGCGACGAUGAAUCAAAAGAAAACGGGAAAGCAAAAUCAUGACUGGCUGUAUUUUUUGACUGUCAAUCGAAGAGAACGACGUGCUUAAAUUUGUGCGUAGACAAUUUGUAAUUGGCGAUUAAAAAAAUUGUACAAGUGUUUACCAAUUGUAUUAAAAGUUAGGUUUAUGUCCCGUUGGCUAUUGCUUCUGGGGGGAAAAAUUCUUGCAAUAUGUACAUACAUACAUACAUUUCCCGUGACCAGCGCUAAAAAUGUAAAAAGGAUCCUUGGUCAAAUAUUCACCAUACGCGGACAAAUUCAUGAGGACGGCAAUCUUACAUAAAUAUCAAAAACAAAAAAAACAAGGGGUAUUAUUUAUAAUUAAUUGUACGAAAAUGUAAGUAAAGCAAUUGAACACAAAAUACAA